rnacentral:rRNA from 1 species
AUACGAAGGGCCCGAGCGUUGCGCGGAAUUACUGGGCUUAAAGCGUACGUAGGCGGGCACGCAGGCGUCUUGUGAAAUCCCUCUGCUCAACCGAGGAACUGCUUGACGAACCGCGUGUCUUGAGGCAGGUAGGGGCUGUCGGAACGAUAGGUGGAGUGGUGAAAUGCGUUGAUAUCUAGCGGAACGCCGAAGGAGAAAUCAGGCCGCAGGGCUUGUUCUGACGCUGAGGUACGAAAGCGUGGGGAGCGAACGGGAUUAGAAACCCCGGUAGUCC